rnacentral:tRNA from 1 species
GGGUCGUUAGCUCAGUUGGUAGAGAAGUUGACUUUUAAUCAAUUGGUCGCAGGUUCGAAUCCUGCACGACCCACCA